CCGGCUAACUACGUGCCAGCAGCCGCGGUAAUACGUAGGGGGCGAGCGUUGUCCGAAUGACUGGGCGUAAAGGGCGUGUAGGCGGCUUUAUAAGUCUGGAGUGAAAGUCCUGCUUCAAGGUGGGAAUUGCUUUGGAGACUGUAGAGCUUGAGUGCGGAAGAGGUAAGUGGAAUUCCAGUGUAGCGGUGAAAUGCGUAGAGAUUGGGAGGAACACCAGUGGCGAAGGCGACUUACGGGCCGUAACUGACGCUGAGGCGCGAAAGCGUGGGGAGCGAACAGGAUUAGAUACCCUGGAGUCCACGCGGUAAACGAUGAAUGCCAGGUGUUGCGGGUAUCGACCCCUGCAGUGCCGGAUAAACACAAUAAGCAUUCCGCCUGGGGAGUACGGCCGCAAGGUUGAAACUCAAAGGAAUUACGGGGGCCCGCACAAGCAGCGGAGCAUGUUGUUUAAUUCGAAGCAACGCGAAGAACCUUCCAGGUCUUGACAUCGAGGUAAAGCCACAGAGAUGUGGUGUCUCUUCGGAGGACCGAAGAAGGUGGUGCAUGGUUGUCGUCAGCUCGUGUCGUGAGAUGUUGGGUUAAGUCCCGCAACGACGCAACCCUUAUGGUCAGUUACUAACACGUAGCGGUGAGGACUCUGACAAGACUGCCGGGACAACUCGGAGGAAGGUGGGGACGACGUCAAAUCAUCAUGCCCCUUAUGACCUGGGCUACAACGUGCUACAAUGGUGGCUACAAAGAGGAGCGAGACCGUAAGGUGGAGCGGAUCUCAAAAAGCCAUCCCAGUUCGGAUUGUGGGCUGCAACCAGCCCACAUGAAGUUGGAGUUGCUAGUAUCGCGGAUCAGCAUGCCGCGGUGAAUACGUUCCCGGGCCUUGUACUCACCGCCCGUAA
rnacentral:rRNA from 1 species